rnacentral:tRNA from 1 species
GGGGCUAUAGCUCAGCUGGGAGAGCGCCUGCCUUGCAUGCAGGAGGUCAGCGGUUCGAUCCCGCUUAGCUCCA